AGAGUUUGAUUAUGGCUCAGAACGAACGCUGGCGGCGUGCCUAACACAUGCAAGUCGAACGAACUCUUCGGAGUUAGUGGCGGACGGGUGAGUAAUACAUAGAAAACAUGCCCUAAAGUGGGGGAUAACAUUCCGAAAGGGGUGCUAAUACCGCAUAAUGUAUUUGGUUGGAAUACUGAAUAAGAAAGGAGCAAUUCGCUUGUGGAGUGGUCUAUGGUCGAUUAGAUAGUUGGUGGGGUAAAGGCCUACCAAGUCGAUGAUCGAUAGCUGGUCUGAGAGGACGAUCAGCCACGCUGGGACUGAGACACGGCCCAGACUUCUACGGAAGGCAGCAGUGGGGAAUUUUCCGCAAUGGGCGAAAGCCUGACGGAGCGACGCCGCGUGGAGGAAGAAGUAUUUCGGUAUGUAAACUCCUUUUGUCAGGGACGAAAAAAAUGACGGUACCUGAAGAAUAAGCAUCGGCUAACUACGUGCCAGCCGCCGCGGUAA
rnacentral:rRNA from 1 species